GGCCAGUGAUGUCUCAAGUUCGACUUUGGAUCUUAAUUUGGGACCAUAUCUGUGCCAG
rnacentral:pre_miRNA from 1 species